rnacentral:tRNA from 1 species
GAAGCCCCGGCAGGCGUCAACCUACGUCUCAGGAUUUGCAAUCCUGCAUGGAAACUACACUACAAGGCU